AUAUUGGACAAUGGGGGGAACCCUGAUCCAGCGACGCCGCGUGAGUGAAGAAGUAUUUCGGUAUGUAAAGCUCUAUCAGCAGGGAAGAAAGAAAUGACGGUACCUGACUAAUCAGCCCCGGCUAACUACGUGCCAGCAGCCGCGGUAAUACGUAGGGGGCAAGCGUUAUCCGGAUUUACUGGGUGUAAAGGGAGCGUAGACGGCAGCACAAGUCUGGAGUGAAAUGCCGGGGCUUAACCCCGGAACUGCUUUGGAAACUGUGCAGCUAGAGUGCAGGAGAGGUAAGUGGAAUUCCUAGUGUAGCGGUGAAAUGCGUAGAUAUUAGGAGGAACACCAGUGGCGAAGGCGGCUUACUGGACUGUAACUGACGUUGAGGCUCGAAAGCGUGGGGAGCAAACAGG
rnacentral:rRNA from 1 species